rnacentral:lncRNA from 1 species
UUUUUUAAAGAAAAAAAAAUAUAAGAAUACACUAAGAAAUGUAGUUAACAUAUUUUUUUGAAAAAAACUAUCUAGUUUUGAUAAUAACAAAAUGUAGUACAAAAAUCCAACAUAGCACCCAUACACCCUCUCUUUCGUAUUCACCAACUUGAAAUCCAAAACCACCCGAGGUUUCAAGUUUGAAUCUUAGUUGAUCUACAUUUUCAGCUAGAUUUAUUUAUAAAUGAAAUAAACGAAGCAGGUAACGUACUAUCUAUCUCUCUCAAAAAAGAAAAAAAAUCCCCACUCACUACGU